rnacentral:rRNA from 1 species
AUUGAACGCUGGCGGCAGGCCUAACACAUGCAAGUCGAGCGAGCGGCGGACGGGUGAGUAAUGUCUGGGAACCUGCCUGAUGGAGGGGGAUAACUACUGGAAACGGUAGCUAAUACCGCAUAGCAUCAGCUGUGCCCAGAUGGGAUUAGCUAGUAGGUGGGGUAAUGGCUCACCUAGGCGACGAUCCCUAGCUGGUCUGAGAGGAUGACCAGCCACACUGGAACUGAGACACGGCCCAGACUCCUACGGGAGGCAGCAGUGGGGAAUAUUGCACAAUGGGGGAAAUCCUGAUGCAGCCAUGCCGCGUGUAUGAAGAAGGCCUUCGGGUUGUAAAGUACUUUCAGCGGGAAGGCGGUACCCGCAGAAGAAGCACCGGCUAACUCCGUGCCAGCAGCCGCGGUAAUAC